rnacentral:rRNA from 1 species
ACUUAAAUUGAAGAGUUUGAUCAUGGCUCAGAUUGAACGCUGGCGGCAGGCCUAACACAUGCAAGUCGAGCGGUAGCACAGAGAGCUUGCUCUCGGGUGACGAGCGGCGGACGGGUGAGUAAUGUCUGGGAAACUGCCUGAUGGAGGGGGAUAACUACUGGAAACGGUAGCUAAUACCGCAUAACGUCGCAAGACCAAAGUGGGGGACCUUCGGGCCUCAUGCCAUCAGAUGUGCCCAGAUGGGAUUAGCUGGUAGGUGGGGUAACGGCUCACCUAGGCGACGAUCCCUAGCUGGUCUGAGAGGAUGACCAGCCACACUGGAACUGAGACACGGUCCAGACUCCUACGGGAGGCAGCAGUGGGGAAUAUUGCACAAUGGGCGCAAGCCUGAUGCAGCCAUGCCGCGUGUGUGAAGAAGGCCUUCGGGUUGUAAAGCACUUUCAGCGGGGAGGAAGGCGAUAAGGUUAAUAACCUUGUCGAUUGACGUUACCCGCAGAAGAAGCACCGGCUAACUCCGUGCCAGCAGCCGCGGUAAUACGGAGGGUGCAAGCGUUAAUCGGAAUUACUGGGCGUAAAGCGCACGCAGGCGGUCUGUCAAGUCGGAUGUGAAAUCCCCGGGCUCAACCUGGGAACUGCAUUCGAAACUGGCAGGCUAGAGUCUUGUAGAGGGGGGGUAGAAUUCCAGGUGUAGCGGUGAAAUGCGUAGAGAUCUGGAGGAAUACCGGUGGCGAAGGCGGCCCCCUGGACAAAGACUGACGCUCAGGUGCGAAAGCGUGGGGAGCAAACAGGAUUAGAUACCCUGGUAGUCCACGCUGUAAACGAUGUCGAUUUGGAGGUUGUGCCCUUGAGGCGUGGCUUCCGGAGCUAACGCGUUAAAUCGACCGCCUGGGGAGUACGGCCGCAAGGUUAAAACUCAAAUGAAUUGACGGGGGCCCGCACAAGCGGUGGAGCAUGUGGUUUAAUUCGAUGCAACGCGAAGAACCUUACCUGGUCUUGACAUCCACAGAACUUAGCAGAGAUGCUUUGGUGCCUUCGGGAACUGUGAGACAGGUGCUGCAUGGCUGUCGUCAGCUCGUGUUGUGAAAUGUUGGGUUAAGUCCCGCAACGAGCGCAACCCUUAUCCUUUGUUGCCAGCGGUCCGGCCGGGAACUCAAAGGAGACUGCCAGUGAUAAACUGGAGGAAGGUGGGGAUGACGUCAAGUCAUCAUGGCCCUUACGACCAGGGCUACACACGUGCUACAAUGGCAUAUACAAAGAGAAGCGACCUCGCGAGAGCAAGCGGACCUCAUAAAGUAUGUCGUAGUCCGGAUUGGGAGUCUGCAACUCGACUCCAUGAAGUCGGAAUCGCUAGUAAUCGUAGAUCAGAAUGCUACGGUGAAUACGUUCCCGGGCCUUGUACACACCGCCCGUCACACCAUGGGAGUGGGUUGCAAAAGAAGUAGGUAGCUUAACCUUCGGGAGGGCGCUUACCACUUUGUGAUUCAUGACUGGGGUGAAGUCGUAACAAGGUAACCGUAGGGGAACCUGCGGUUGGAUCACCUCCUUACCUUAAAGAA